rnacentral:misc_RNA from 1 species
GUGAAUCAUCAAAUUUUUGAACGCAAAUUGCACUCUCUGCGAAGAGGGUGCGUGUUUGAGUUUCAGUAUUAGUAAAAAUCGGUAUGUUACUUCUUUGUGACGCUCCGGGGUUUUGGGCAUCUUGAUAUCCUUUAGGUUUUAAGAGGCUUAAGAUUGACUUUUUUUGCGCAUUGUAGAUGUACAUAGGUUCUUUUUUUUAUUCGUCUGUCUUAAUACGCGAAAUCCUAGUAGAUCCUACCAUCUCGUGUGGUUUCGUGUCUAUAGAUUUUUCAUUAUUU